rnacentral:rRNA from 1 species
UGCGCAGGCGGGGAAAUAAGUCAGUGGUGAAAAGCUGCCGCUUAACGGUAGUCUUGCCAAUGAUACUGUUUUUCUUGAGUAUGGUUAAGGUAGGCGGAAUGUGCAGUGUAGCGGUGAAAUGCAUAGAGAUUGCACAGAAGGCCGAUUGCGGAGGCAGCUUACUGAGCCAUAACUGACGCUGAGGCACGAAAGCGUGGGGAUCGAACAGGAUUAGAUACCCUGGUAGUCC